rnacentral:rRNA from 1 species
AGAACGAACGCUGGCGGCAGGCUUAACACAUGCAAGUCGAACGCUCGUAGCAAUACGGGAGUGGCAGACGGGUGAGUAACGCGUGGGAACAUACCCUCCGGUUCGGAAUAGCUCAGGGAAACUUGGAUUAAUACCGGAUACGGCUGAGAGGCGAAAGAUUUAUCGCCGGAGGAUUGGCCCGCGUUCGAUUAGCUUGUUGGUGAGGUAACGGCUCACCAAGGCGAUGAUCGAUAGCUGGUCUGAGAGGAUGAUCAGCCACAUUGGGACUGAGACACGGCCCAAACUCCUACGGGAGGCAGCAGUGGGGAAUAUUGGACAAUGGGCGCAAGCCUGAUCCAGCCAUGCCGCGUGAGUGAUGACGGCCUUAGGGUUGUAAAGCUCUUUCGCUCGGGACGAUAAUGACGGUACCGAGAUAAGAAGCCCGGCUAACUUCGCGCCAGCAGCCGC